GACGAACGCUGGCGGCGUGCUUAACACAUGCAAGUCGAACGGAAAGGCCCUGCUUUUGUGGGGUGCUCGAGUGGCGAACGGGUGAGUAACACGUGAGUAACCUGCCCUUGACUUUGGGAUAACUUCAGGAAACUGGGGCUACUACCGGAUAGGAGCUCCUGCGGCAUGGUGGGGGUUGGAAAGUUUCGGCGGUUGGGGAUGGACUCGCGGCUUAUCAGCUUGUUGGUGGGGUAGUGGCUUACCAAGGCUUUGACGGGUAGCCGGCCUGAGAGGGUGACCGGCCACAUUGGGACUGAGAUACGGCCCAGACUCCUACGGGAGGCAGCAGUGGGGAAUAUUGCACAAUGGGCGGAAGCCUGAUGCAGCAACGCCGCGUGCGGGAUGACGGCCUUCGGGUUGUAAACCGCUUUCGCCUGUGACGAAGCGUGAGUGACGGUAAUGGGUAAAGAAGCACCGGCUAACUACGUG
rnacentral:rRNA from 1 species